AUUGAACGCUGGCGGCAGGCCUAACACAUGCAAGUCGAACGGUAACAGGAAGAAUCUUGCUUCUUUGCUGGCGAGUGGCGGACGGGUGAGUAAUGUCUGGGAAACUGCCUGAUGGAGGGGGAUAACUACUGGAAACGGUAGCUAAUACCGCAUAACGUCGCAAGACCAAAGAGGGGGACCUUCGGGCCUCUUGCCAUCGGAUGUGCCCAGAUGGGAUUAGCUAGUAGGUGGGGUAACGGCUCACCUAGGCGACGAUCCCUAGCUGGUCUGAGAGGAUGACCAGCCACACUGGAACUGAGACACGGUCCAGACUCCUACGGGAGGCAGCAGUGGGGAAUAUUGCACAAUGGGCGCAAGCCUGAUGCAGCCAUGCCGCGUGUAUGAAGAAGGCAUUCGGGUUGUAAAGUACUUUCAGCGGGGAGGAAGGGAGUAAAGUUAAUACCUUUACUCAUUGACGUUACCCGCAGAAGAAGCACCGGCUAACUCCGUG
rnacentral:rRNA from 1 species